AACGCUGGCGGCGUGCCUGACACAUGCAAGUCGGACGGUUCUUGCACCUUCAAGCUUGCUUGUUGGUUCAAGGAUAGUGGCGGACGGGUGAGUAACGCGUGAACACCUACCCAUUGGAGGGGUACAACCCGUCGAAAGGCGGGCUAAUACCGCGUAAGCCGUGAGGUGAAAGGCUGCUCUUUGGUGGCUGCCGAUGGAUGGGUUCGCGUCCUAUCAGCUGGUUGGUGGGGUAACGGCCUACCAAGGCUAAGACGGGUAGCCGGUCUGAGAGGAUGGCCGGCCACACUGGAACUGAGACACGGUCCAGACUCCUACGGGAGGCAGCAGUGGGGAAUCUUGGGCAAUGGGGGAGACCCUGACCCAGCGACGCCGCGUGAGGGAUGAAGGUUUUCGGAUCGUAAACCUCUGUUGUACGGGAAGAAGGAUGUGACGGUACCGUACGAGUAAGCCCCGGCAAACUACGUG
rnacentral:rRNA from 1 species